GUAUAUAAGAGAAGCUACCAUCAGCCAGCAAGCAACAAGCUGAGAUUUUGACACUUCACAAAGAUACAUGCCAGAACAUAAAAUGAAGCCACUGAGGGAUAAGAAAAAGGAACAAUUGCCAAAUCACAAUUCAAUUAAAAGUUUCUGGGAGAUUUAUGACACUGCCAUAAAUGCCAGUGGAACUGCCUGAGCUGCAGCAGGUCAUCCAGCUGAACCAGUGAGGAGGUGAGGAAAGCAGCAAUAAUCAUGAUAACUCUGUCCUACCAUCUUCAUCUGGGCAUGUGUAACAUAUAUCAAGUCAAGGCAUCAUUUGUGGCUUGAGAAGGAAAAUCAAAAGUGAAUAUUUAGAAUAUAAAUACUUUAUUGCAGUCCAGCUCCUGAAGUUUGAAUGACAGGUUUUCUAAUGAUUCUAGUACCUGGAAAAAGAAAAUAAAGCCUACCUCUGAGGUCCUUGGAUUGAACA
rnacentral:lncRNA from 1 species